rnacentral:rRNA from 1 species
CCUACGGGGGGCAGCAGUGGGGAAUAUUGCACAAUGGGCGCAAGCCUGAUGCAGCCAUGCCGCGUGUGUGAAGAAGGCCUUCGGGUUGUAAAGCACUUUCAGCGGGGAGGAAGGCGUUAAGGUUAAUAACCUUGGCGAUUGACGUUACCCGCAGAAGAAGCACCGGCUAACUCCGUGCCAGCAGCCGCGGUAAUACGGAGGGUGCAAGCGUUAAUCGGAAUUACUGGGCGUAAAGCGCACGCAGGCGGUCUGUCAAGUCGGAUGUGAAAUCCCCGGGCUCAACCUGGGAACUGCAUUCGAGACUGGCAGGCUAGAGGCUUGUAGAGGGGGGUAGAAUUCCAGGUGUAGCGGUGAAAUGCGUAGAGAUCUGGAGGAAUACCGGUGGCGAAGGCGGCCCCCUGGACAAAGACUGACGCUCAGGUGCGAAAGCGUGGGGAGCAAACAGGAUUAGAUACCCGGGUAGUC